rnacentral:misc_RNA from 1 species
GAUGAAGAACGUAGCGAAAUGCGAUAAGUAAUGUGAAUUGCAGAAUUCAGUGAAUCAUCGAAUCUUUGAACGCACAUUGCGCCCGCCAGUAUUCUGGCGGGCAUGCCUGUUCGAGCGUCAUUUCAACCAUCAAGCCCCCGGCUUGUGUUGGGGACCUGCGGCUGCCGCAGGCCCUGAAAUGCAGUGGCGGGCUCGCUGUCACUCCGAGCGUAGUAGUUACAUCUCGCUCUGGGCGUGCUGCGGGUUCCGGCCGUUAAAAGCCUUAUUUACCCAAGGUUGACCUCGGAUCAGGUAGGAAGACCCGCUGAACUUAAGCAUAUCAAUAGCGGAGGA